UGAGACACGGUCCAGACUCCUACGGGAGGCAGCAGUGGGGAAUAUUGCACAAUGGGCGCAAGCCUGAUGCAGCCAUGCCGCGUGUAUGAAGAAGGCCUUCGGGUUGUAAAGUACUUUCAGCGGGGAGGAAGGGGAAGAGGUUAAUAACCUCCUCCAUUGACGUUACCCGCAGAAGAAGCACCGGCUAACUCCGUGCCAGCAGCCGCGGUAAUACGGAGGGUGCAAGCGUUAAUCGGAAUUACUGGGCGUAAAGCGCACGCAGGCGGUCUGUCAAGUCGGAUGUGAAAUCCCCGGGCUUAACCUGGGAACUGCAUUCGAAACUGGCAGGCUAGAGUCUCGUAGAGGGGGGUAGAAUUCCAGGUGUAGCGGUGAAAUGCGUAGAGAUCUGGAGGAAUACCGGUGGCGAAGGCGGCCCCCUGG
rnacentral:rRNA from 1 species